rnacentral:rRNA from 1 species
UACGGGGGGGGCAAGCGUUGUUCGGAAUUAUUGGGCGUAAAGAGCUCGUAGGCGGUUUGUCGCGUCGGCCGUGAAAACUUGGGGCUUAACCCCAAGCCUGCGGUCGAUACGGGCAGACUUGAGUUCGGCAGGGGAGACUGGAAUUCCCGGUGUAGCGGUGAAAUGUGUAGAGAUCGGGAGGAACACCGGUGGCGAAGGCGGGUCUCUGGGCAAUUCCUGACGCUGAGGCGCGAAAGCGUGGGGAGCAAACGGG